UUACAGGUCUAUAGUCUAUAGUACUGGUCUGUGUCUUUAGUUACAGGUCUAUAGUCUAUAGUACUGGUCUGUGUCUUUAGUCACAGGUCUAUAGUCUAUAGUACUGGUCUGUGUCUUUAGUUACAGGUCUAUAGUACUGGUCUGUGUCUUUAGUUACAGGUCUAUAGUCUAUAGUACUGGUCUGUGUCUUUAGUCACAGGUCUAUAGUACUGGUCUGUGUCUUUAGUUACAGGUCUAUAGUCUAUAGUACUGGUCUGUGUCUUUAGUCACAGGUCUAUAGUCUAUAGUACUGGUCUGUGUCUUUAGUCACAGGUCUAUAGUACUGGUCUGUGUCUUUAGUCACAGGUCUAUAGUCUAUAGUACUGGUCUGUGUCUUUAGUCACAGGUCUAUAGUCUAUAGUACUGGUCUGUGUCUUUAGUCACAGGUCUAUAGUACUGGUCUGUGU